rnacentral:rRNA from 1 species
CGAUAGGUGGGAGGACCGGGAAUGGUCCCUCACCCAAAAGGAACUAGUGGCAUGCUUGCUAGUUUCGUUAGAUGAUAGGGCAGCGUCCGAUCAGGUCGCUGGUGAGGUAACGGCUCACCAGGCCUAUAACCGGUACGGGCCGUGAGAGCGGUAGCCCGGAGAUGGGCACUGAGACAAGGGCUCAGGCCCUACGGGGUGCAGCAGGCGGGAAAACUUCGCAAUGCGCGAAAGCGUGAAGAGGUCACUCCGAGUGCCGUCCGCUGAGGAUGGAUUUUGCCCGGUUUAACUAGCCAGGUGAAUAAGGGGAGGGCAAGUCUGGUGUCAGCCGUCGCGGUAAUACCAGCUCCCCGAGUGGUUGGGAGGAUUAUUGGGUAUGAAGUGUCCGUAGCCGGCCGAAAAAGUUCCCCGUUAAAUCUGGCGAUCCAAUCGUUGGGCUGCGGGGAAUACUCUUUGGUUUUGGGGCGAGGGAGGUCGGCGGUAGUCCUUGGGUAGGGGGGAAAUCCUAUAAUCCCAGGAGGAGCACCAGUGGCGAAGGCGGCCGACUAAAACGCGCCCGACGGUGAGGGACGAAAGCUGGGGGAGCGAACGGGAUUAGAUAUCCCGGUAGUCCCAGCUGUAAACGAUGCAGGCUAGGUGUUGGGACGGCUACGA